AGGUCAAAGGGAUCUACCGCCACGGCUUUCUUGAAGUCCGGCCCCACGGCCCUGAAGAAGGCUUUCAUGUCCUUGUCUUCAUUAUCAAAGCCGUGCUCUCCUUUGUUGUAAUUCACAGUCAACAACCCAGAAGGCAGAAAGAGAUGGAGGACAGCAGCAGCAGGGAAAGGGCAUCCAGUGGUGCAUAAACGCAUAGGUCAGCGAUGAGGAUGAGGGGCAGGAGUCGAGGAUGGUUGCUGUAGUGCAGUCUAGCUGGCAUCUUCUCCUUUUUAUACACAUGAAGGUGAGGAUGGCUUCCUUUCAGAGCUUUAUAGACUUUCUCCAACAUCCCCUC